rnacentral:rRNA from 1 species
ACAAUGGAGAGUUUGAUCCUGGCUCAGGAUGAACGCUAGCGGCAGGCUUAAUACAUGCAAGUCGUGGGGCAGCAGAAGUAGCAAUACUUGCUGGCGACCGGCAAACGGGUGCGGAACACGUACACAACCUUCCUUCAAGCGGGGAAUAGCCCAGAGAAAUUUGGAUUAAUACCCCAUAAUAUAUAUUAUAGGCAUCUAUAAGAUAUUAAAGCUUCGGCACUUGAUGAUGGGUGUGCGUCUGAUUAGGUAGUUGGCGGGGUAACGGCCCACCAAGCCUUCGAUCAGUAGCUGAUGUGAGAGCAUGAUCAGCCACACGGGCACUGAGACACGGGCCCGACUCCUACGGGAGGCAGCAGUAAGGAAUAUUGGUCAAUGGACGAAAGUCUGAACCAGCCAUGCCGCGUGAAGGAUUAAGGUCCUCUGGAUUGUAAACUUCUUUUAUAUGGGACGAAAAAAGGGCAUUCUUGCUCACUUGACGGUACUAUAUGAAUAAGCACCGGCUAACUCCGUGCCAGCAGCCGCGGUAAUACGGAGGGUGCAAGCGUU